rnacentral:rRNA from 1 species
UACGGAGGGUGCGAGCGUUGUCCGGAUUUAUUGGGUUUAAAGGGUGCGUAGGUGGCUGUUUAAGUCAGUGGUGAAAUACAGCCGCUCAACGGUUGAGGUGCCAUUGAUACUGAAUAGCUUGAAAUAAUUGGAGGCUGCCGGAAUGGAUGGUGUAGCGGUGAAAUGCAUAGAUAUCAUCCAGAACACCGAUUGCGAAGGCAGGUGGCUACGAUUUAUUUGACACUGAGGCACGAAAGCAUGGGGAGCAAACAGG